rnacentral:sRNA from 2 species
AUAAUCAAUCGGCUCGCACCCCGCUUUGACCACGGAUGUACUGGCACUGCGGAUAUGCGAACCCUGGAAAGGUCGGGCCAGUCCCGGCCUUUUUGUUU